ensembl:snoRNA
CCCAUGGCUCCUAUCGAAGCUAUAGCUGCUUCCACAUAGCUGCUGUGGUCAAAAAGGAGCCCAAAGUAAGUUGUUCCUUGACGGUCGCGGUCCUGUUUGCUGUAACCGUUCUGCAACAUUUUGGGAAAAGACAGUU